rnacentral:rRNA from 1 species
CAUGUAGGUGGAUUAAUAAGUUUGAAGUGAAAUCCUAUAGCUUAACUAUAGAACUGCUUUGAAAACUGUUAAUCUAGAAUGUGGGAGAGGUAGAUGGAAUUUCUGGUGUAGGGGUAAAAUCCGUAGAGAUCAGAAGGAAUACCGAUUGCGAAGGCGAUCUACUGGAACAUUAUUGACGCUGAGAUGCGAAAGCGUGGGGAGCAAACA